AGAGUUUGAUCCUGGCUCAGGAUGAACGCUAGCUACAGGCUUAACACAUGCAAGUCGAGGGGCAGCAUGGUCUUAGCUUGCUAAGGCCGAUGGCGACCGGCGCACGGGUGAGUAACACGUAUCCAACCUGCCGUCUACUCUUGGACAGCCUUCUGAAAGGAAGAUUAAUACAAGAUGGCAUCAUGAGUCCACAUGUUCACAUGAUUAAAGGUAUUCCGGUAGACGAUGGGGAUGCGUUCCAUUAGAUAGUAGGCGGGGUAACGGCCCACCUAGUCUUCGAUGGAUAGGGGUUCUGAGAGGAAGGUCCCCCACAUUGGAACUGAGACACGGUCCAAACUCCUACGGGAGGCAGCAGUGAGGAAUAUUGGUCAAUGGGCGCAGGCCUGAACCAGCCAAGUAGCGUGAAGGAUGACUGCCCUAUGGGUUGUAAACUUCUUUUAUAAAGGAAUAAAGUCGGGUAUGCAUACCCGUUUGCAUGUACUUUAUGAAUAAGGAUCGGCUAACUCCGUGCCAGCAGCCGCGGUAAUACGGAGGAUUCGAGCGUUAUCCGGAUUUAUUGGGUUUAAAGGGAGCGUAGAUGGAUGUUUAAGUCAGUUGUGAAAGUUUGCGGCUCAACCGUAAAAUUGCAGUUGAUACUGGAUAUCUUGAGUGCAGUUGAGGCAGGCGGAAUUCGUGGUGUAGCGGUGAAAUGCUUAGAUAUCACGAAGAACUCCGAUUGCGAAGGCAGCCUGCUAAGCUGCAACUGACAUUGAGGCUCGAAAGUGUGGGUAUCAAACAGGAUUAGAUACCCUGGUAGUCCACACGGUAAACGAUGAAUACUCGCUGUUUGCGAUAUACGGCAAGCGGCCAAGCGAAAGCGUUAAGUAUUCCACCUGGGGAGUACGCCGGCAACGGUGAAACUCAAAGGAAUUGACGGGGGCCCGCACAAGCGGAGGAACAUGUGGUUUAAUUCGAUGAUACGCGAGGAACCUUACCCGGGCUUAAAUUGCAGAUGAAUUACGGUGAAAGCCGUAAGCCGCAAGGCAUCUGUGAAGGUGCUGCAUGGUUGUCGUCAGCUCGUGCCGUGAGGUGUCGGCUUAAGUGCCAUAACGAGCGCAACCCUUGUUGUCAGUUACUAACAGGUUCUGCUGAGGACUCUGACAAGACUGCCAUCGUAAGAUGUGAGGAAGGUGGGGAUGACGUCAAAUCAGCACGGCCCUUACGUCCGGGGCUACACACGUGUUACAAUGGGGGGUACAGAGGGCCGCUACCACGCGAGUGGAUGCCAAUCCCAAAAACCUCUCUCAGUUCGGACUGGAGUCUGCAACCCGACUCCACGAAGCUGGAUUCGCUAGUAAUCGCGCAUCAGCCACGGCGCGGUGAAUACGUUCCCGGGCCUUGCACACACCGCCCGUCAAG
rnacentral:rRNA from 1 species